rnacentral:rRNA from 1 species
AUUUGCCUGCAUACAACCAGGGCUGUGAUCUUGUCAGAUCUCACAACACAAGCAAGAUUAAGCUUGUUCAGUACUUGGAUGGAAGACUGCAAAGGGUAAGAAAAGCAUCGCAAAGC